CCCAUCUCCUCCCACUCUCUCCAUCCUGACAGCUGGGCCAUCCAGUAUCGACGUAGGAGGCAGCACCAAGCGUAAUGCUGGGUGGCGCGCCCGCGUGAUCGAGCGUACCCGAGCGGCCGCUCGUCCACCGUCCAUCUCAUCCUCGAUCACGCCGCGUGGAUGGAUAGGUCUGACCACGGCGGAGGCAGACAAAGCUCCAAAACGGACACCAACCAUUCGUUCUUGUCUGUUCCCCUUUCCUCACCACUCCAGGUCCAGGGGGCAUCGUCGGCGAGCGCCCGACGACGGCGAGGAAGGCGAGGGGAGCCCGUCCCGGUGACAGCGACCACCAUGCAGGGGGAGGCGAGCACCACCAGUUUUGAUCGAGCGGCUCGCGAGCGCGAUGAAAGAAGUGGAGGGUGAAGGAAGGAGAACCCGCCGGCGACGCGAAGGGGAAGCGGACAACGGGGCGCGGCGAACCGCUACAUCUCCGUGGAAAAGAAGAGGCCUGGUGCAAGACAAUAGGCAAGAUAAUAUCAAGUUUCAAGAGCACAGCAUCGUCUAUCUAGAAUCCAAAUUCAACAUGGGGAAGGGGAGGAUAACUACAGGUGGAGAGCAGAUUUGUUGGCAAGAUCCAAUUUCUGGUGUAACCUAGUAGUAUCAUGCUUUUGCCCAAGAAAAAAAAAGAAAAAUAAAUGGAGAAUCCUGUGUUGUUUCUGAAGGGAGAAAAAUUGCCUAGUUUCUGGUGGUAUUCUUGCCGGAGUUGUCCCAGAUUUUUGCCUGAUACGCAACAAAGAGUUGUUGACAAAUA